rnacentral:rRNA from 1 species
UACGGAAGGCAGCAGUGGGGAAUAUUGCACAAUGGGCGCAAGCCUGAUGCAGCCAUGCCGCGUGUAUGAAGAAGGCCUUCGGGUUGUAAAGUACUUUCAGUCGUGAGGAAGGUGUUAAGGUUAAUAACCUUAGCAAUUGACGUUAGCGACAGAAGAAGCACCGGCUAACUCCGUGCCAGCAGCCGCGGUAAUACGGAGGGUGCGAGCGUUAAUCGGAAUUACUGGGCGUAAAGGGCACGCAGGCGGUUAAUUAAGUUGGAUGUGAAAUCCCCGGGCUUAACCUGGGAAUGGCAUUCAAGACUGGUUAGCUAGAGUCUUGUAGAGGGGGUAGAAUUCCAUGUGUAGCGGUGAAAUGCGUAGAGAUGUGGAGGAAUACCGGUGCGAAGGCGGCCCCUGGACAAAGACUGACGCUCAUGUGCGAAAGCGUGGGGAGCAAACAGGGAUUAGAUA